rnacentral:rRNA from 1 species
AACGGAGUGAAUUGAAAUAUCUUAGUAACUUCAGAUAAAAUAAAUCAAACGAGAUUUAAAUAGAGAUCUAUUUAAUGAAGCUUAAAAGUAAAAUGGUUAAUAACUGUUUGAAUAAAAGGGGAACCUUCCUCUAAAGCUAAAUAUAAUAUAUAAGCGAUAGUAAAAAGUACCGUGAGGUAAAGAUAGAAAUAGUAAUUUUAUAAGCAGCUCUGAAAGAAAUUUAAAUAGAUAAUUAGAGCGAACCUUUUGCAUAAUGGGUCAGCAAGUUAAGUUUAGAUGCAAGCAAAUAAAAUAAAAUAAAAUAAAAUAUUUGCCUAGAUAAACCAAUUAUUAAAUAAUGAAAAGUAUCUAGAUUUAGACCCGAAGACUAGUGAUCUUACCAUGAUCAGGAUUAUAAAAGUCCGAACGGGUUAUCGUUGUAAAGAUAUCCGAAGAAUUGUGGUAAGUUGGUGAAAGACAAAACUGACUAGUAUAGCUGGUUUUCCGCGAAACCUAUGUGAGUAGGUAAUUUAAUUAACAUCUUAGCAGGUACAGAAUUAAGAUCUCGGACAAAUUUUAUUUUUUGUCAAUAUCGGGGAAUCGUAAUGAUUUUAUCGGAGAGUAUUUGCACUCGAAAGGGCAAAGAUGAAUGUUAAAUAAUCGGACAUAGUACGAGAAGGUUGUAUGUCUAAAGGGAAACAGCCCAGAACAAGAGUAAUAAGGUUCCUAAAUUAUUAUUAAGUGAAAUAAAGGAUAUAAAUAUAUAAUACAACCAGGAAAUAGGCUUAGAAGCGGUCAUUUUUUAAAGAUCUCGUAAUAGAGCACUGGUUAAUUUAUUCUUUAAUAUAUAGAUACCUAAAAUUUAACGGAUCUAAAUAAUAUACCGAAACCUUGUACAUAUUUAAAUUAAUUUAAAUAUGAGAUAGCGGAACAUUGGAUAAAAUAGUAGAGAUAUAAAUAAAUUAUAUUAUAUUUAAUUAAUCUAAGAAUCCAAGAGAGAAUGCUGACAUGAGUAACGAAAAAGGAUUAUAAAUAAUAUCCUCGCCUUAAGCUUAUGGUAUUUGAGUUAAAUUUCGGUUUCUAAGUGAUAAUCUAAGGAUUUAAUUAUGAUGAAAAAAAAAAGAAAUAAAGUACAAAACCUUUAUCAAGUGUUAAAGGUUCAGGAAAUAAUUUUAUAAAAAGAAUUAAAACCGUACCUAGAUACUAACACAAGUAAGCGAGUAGAAUAUACGAAGGCGUUUGAGUGAACAAUCAUUAAGGAACUCGGCAAAAUAGCUCCGUAACUUAGGAAGAAGGAGAGCCCUUAUUAUAGAAAUAUUAUAUUUUAAUAUAAUAAAAUUUCGAAUAAAAUAAGAGGAAACAUUAAAAAGUAUUGUGCGACUGUUUAAUUAAAACAAAUCACUCUGCAAAGAUACUAGAAUCUAAGUAUUGAGUGUGAUGUCUGCCCAAUGUCGGUUGAAUAAUUGAGAUAUUUAAUUUAAAGAUUAGGUAUUUAAGGACACACCGAUUAAUGGCGGCUUUAUCUAUAAGAGUCCUAAGGUAGCGGAAUACCCUGGCCGUUAAAUGCGGUCUUGCAUGAAUGACUUAACGAUACAAUAACUGUCUCGAUGAUUGGCUCAGUGAAAUUGGAAUAGCAGUGCAGAUACUGCUUAACUCUAGAUAGACGAGAAGACCCUAUGCAGCUUUACUGUUACCUUUCAUGAAUAAAAUAAGUCAAUUAUUAGUGUAUAAGGUAAUUGUAAGAUAAAAUUGAAACACCUUUAUUUAAACUAUUUUAUUCUUUAUGACUGGAAGACAGUUUAUGCGGGGCACAGAUCCCAUAAAAAGUACCUGGGUAUAUCCAAAGUUAAUAAUGUAAUUAUGUAAUAUUUAUAUAUUAUAAUGAUUAUUUGAAUAAUUAAAUAAAAUUAUUCAUUCAUUAAUUAAUAUUUUAUUAAAUAUAUAAUUUAUAUUAAUUCAAUUAAUAUAGUUUUAAAUACGAAUAAAUAAAUUCUAAGUAAGAUUUUAACUAUCUGGUAAAUAGAUGUAUAUUACAUAUAAUAAAUUAUUAAUUUAUUAUAUAAAAUUCUUUUAAUAAUGUAUAUUUUAAUCCUUAUUAAAAGAAUAAUUAUUUUUACUAAAAAAGUUUAAUGGCUUAAUCUUGCUUUACUGUUGGACUUACCAGUCUAUCAGUCGCGUAAGCGGGGCAUAUGAUCACAAGAUGCAGAAAGGAAAGGUCUUGGAUUAAAGAAAAAGUUACGCUAGGGAUAACAGGCUAAUUUGCGCAAGAGAGUACAAAUUGAGUGCGCGGUUUGGCACCUCGAUGUCGGCUUAGCUCAUCCACAUGAAUGUAGAAAUCAUGAAGGGUACGACUGUUCGUCGGUUAAAGAGCUACACGAGCUGGGUUUAAUACGUCGUGAGACAGUAUGGUUUCUAUCUUCUAGAGAUAAUUAGAGUAAAAGAUAAAUAGCUCCUUCGUACGAAAGGAGUUGGAGAUGCUGAUCUAUGGUUUACCUGUUGUUUAAUUUUAUUUUACUACUUUCACUUAAGUAGAUUUAGUGAUUAGGCAUGGCAGGAAAGCUAAGUCAGUUAAAGAUAAGUGCUGAAUGCAUUUAAGCACGAAGCUUAUUAUAUUAUACUCUUAUAAAUGUAAUAGAUUAUUACAUA